rnacentral:rRNA from 1 species
GACAGAGGGUGCAAACGUUGUUCGGAGUUACUGGGCGUAAAGGGUGUGUAGGCGGUUUUCUAAGUCUGGUGUGAAAUCUCCCGGCUCAACUGGGAGGGUGCGCCGAAAACUGGAAGGCUAGAGUGCGGGAUGGGAGAGUGGAAUUCCUGGUGUAGCGGUGAAAUGCGUAGAUAUCGGGAGGAACACCAGUGGCGAAGGCGGCUUCCUGGACCUGAUCUGACACUGAGGAGCGAAAGCGUGGGGAGCGAUCCGG